GUUGAACGCUGGCGGCAUGCUUUACACAUGCAAGUCGAACGGCAGCGCGUGCUUCGGCCUGGCGGCGAGUGGCGAACGGGGGAGGAAUGCAUCGGAACAGUCCCAGGAGUGGGGGAUAGCCCUGCCAAAGCGGGAUUAAUACCGCAUACGACCUGAUGGUGAAAACGAGCGACCAAAAGGCCUCGCUCUAUGUGAACGGCCUAUCUCGGAUAAGCGAGUUCGUGGGUGAAAGGCUUAAUAAUGCGACGAUCCGUAGCGGGUACGAGAGGACGACCCGGCACACUGGCACUGAGACACGGCCCAGACUCCUAAGGGGAGCAGCAGUCGGGACUUUUGGAGAAUGCGGGAGAGCCUGAUACAGCCAUACCGGGUGCGCGAAGAUGGCCUUAGGGUUGUAAACCGCUUUUGUUAGGGAAGACAUCAUCUGCGCUAAUACCCCGGGGUGAUGACGGUACCAGAAGAAUAAGCUCCGGCUAACUACGUA
rnacentral:rRNA from 1 species